rnacentral:lncRNA from 10 species
AUGUUUACCAAUCACAGAUGCUUGAUUUUAAAUAUUCAUCAACAUGAAGAACAUACAUUAUAAAUGAUCUCCAAGAGAGAUUAGGAUGAAAAGCUAGUGAUAUGUGAUAUAAUACUCUUUUGUGACGUUGGACCAUGGCAGUGAGCCGCAGCUCCCAGUCAGCAAUGCGAUCCCAAGAAUAAACAACCGAUUCUUGACAGUGUCCUAUGUUGCCAGUCGAUUUUGUUCAACAGUAGGUACAUGCAAGUACACCCCACUCCCAAAUUAAAAAGAUUGACCUUAGCCAAACAUAACACGAUGUGACAACUUUGAUUCCAACCACGUGUUUUAUAUUACAUCUACUACUGUGCUUCCUCCUCCUCAGAGGUUACUCAUCAAAAUUGAUUAAUCUUUUCUGAAAUGAUUUGAUACAAAUUUCCUUUAUCUCAUUUGAAUGUACUGUAUGGAGAUAUCAUCUAAACAGGUUAUUUUUUAAUAUAUAAAAUGACUUUUAAAAGAUUCAGUGUGUUUUAUUAUUGCAUUAAAAUUAUACAGAUGAUUUAGUGUAUUCCAACUAUUGCAUUUUCUAUGUGAAAUUUGUUUUAUAAUUUUAUGUAAAUAAAUGUACUUCAAUGUGAAACUGAUGUGAAGCUUCAAAAUCAUAGAUCUAGGGAGGGUGUAGAAAGUUGUAGUCUUUCUAGUUUUUUUCUCAAGUCUUAACCAAAAGAUCUCUUUACAGGAUAUUUUCCUUUGAAUAAGCAAUGUCAUUGUUAGCAAUAUUCAUUUUUAAUUUGCUAAAAAUGCAAAAAUAAAAUGCCA